UAUUUGGCUUCGUUACAUUGGAUUAGUGGCUGAAAAUAUUAAAACAAAAACAGAUAUCUCAAAGACUGUAAUGAUAAUGAGCAUAACAUUUCAAAAUAAGUCAAACAAUUAUAGUCUAGUCGCCUUUUACAAAGUCUCAAUACAGUAAGAAUACCUCAAUCCUAAGGACAUUAGACAAUAUCUAUUUGAUAUACCAUGGUUU
rnacentral:lncRNA from 1 species